UACGUAGGGGGCGAGCGUUGUCCGGAUUUACUGGGCGUAAAGCGCGCGUAGGCGGACGCUUAAGUGUGGCCUGAAAGCCCCCGGCUCAACCGGGGAGGGCGGCUGCAAACUGGGCGUCUUGAGGGCGAUAGAGGUCGGUGGAAUUCCUGGUGUAGCGGUGAAAUGCGCAGAUAUCAGGAGGAACACCGGUGGCGAAGGCGGGUCUCUGGGCCGAUACUGACGCUGAGGAGCGAAAGCGUGGGGAGCGAACAGG
rnacentral:rRNA from 1 species